rnacentral:rRNA from 1 species
AUUGAACGCUGGCGGCAGGCCUAACACAUGCAAGUCGAGCGAGCGACGGACGGGUGAGUAAUGUAUGGGGACUGCCCGAUAGAGCGGGCUAACUAAUGGAAACGGUCGUUAAUAACGCAUACUCUCGGAUUAUCGAUAUGGGAUUAGCUAGUAGGUGAGGUAAUGGCUAACCUAGGCGACGAUCCCUAGCUGGUCUGAGAGGAUGAGAAGCGAAACUGGGACUGGAAAACGGCCCAGACUCCUACGGAGGCAGAAGUGGGGAAUAUUGCACAAUGGGCGCAAGCGUGAAGCAGCCAUGCCGCGUGUAUGAAGAAGGCCCUAGGGUUGUAAAGUACUGUCAGUCGGGAGGCGUUACCAACAGAAGAAGCACCGGCUAACUCCGUGCCAGCAGCCGCGGUAAUUC